rnacentral:ribozyme from 10 species
UUUUAUCGAGGAGAGUCAAUGCUUGCGGCCACUGUCCACGUUUGGCACAUGCUGAGAUGGCAGCAGUGAGUGUGAU